GACGAACGCUGGCGGCGUGCCUAAUACAUGCAAGUAGAACGCUGAAGGAGGAGCUUGCUUCUCUGGAUGAGUUGCGAACGGGUGAGUAACGCGUAGGUAACCUGCCUGGUAGCGGGGGAUAACUAUUGGAAACGAUAGCUAAUACCGCAUAAUAGUAGAUGUCGCAUGACAUUUGCUUAAAAGGUGCAAUUGCAUCACUACCAGAUGGACCUGCGUUGUAUUAGCUAGUUGGUGAGGUAACGGCUCACCAAGGCAACGAUACAUAGCCGACCUGAGAGGGUGAUCGGCCACACUGGGACUGAGACACGGCCCAGACUCCUACGGGAGGCAGCAGUAGGGAAUCUUCGGCCAUGGACGGAAGUCUGACCGAGCAACGCCGCGUGAGUGAAGAAGGUUUUCGGAUCGUAAAGCUCUGUUGUAAGAGAAGAACGAGUGUGAGAGUGGAAAGUUCACACUGUGACGGUAUCUUACCAGAAAGGGACGGCUAACUACGUG
rnacentral:rRNA from 1 species